rnacentral:rRNA from 1 species
GUCCUAGCCGUAAACGGUGAUCACUAGGUGUUGGAGGCAUCGACCCCUCCAGUGCCGCAGCUAACGCAUUAAGUGAUCCGCCUGGGGAGUACGGCCGCAAGGUUGAAACUCAAAGGAAUUGACGGGGGCCCGCACAAGCGGUGGAGCAUGUGGUUUAAUUCGACGCAACGCGAAGAACCUUACCCAGACUUGACAUGCAUAGGACCGGUGUGGAAACACACCUUUCCUUCGGGACCUAUGCACAGGUGCUGCAUUGCUGUCGU